rnacentral:rRNA from 1 species
AGAACGAACGCUGGCGGCAUGCCUAAUACAUGCAAGUCGAACGAACACUUCGGUGUUAGUGGCGCACGGGUGCGUAACGCGUGGGAAUCUGCCCUUGGGUUCGGAAUAACAGUUGGAAACGACUGCUAAUACCGGAUGAUGACGAAGUCCAAAGAUUAUCGCCCAGGGAUGAGCCCGCGUAGAUUAGCUAGUUGGUGAGGUAAAGGCUCACCAAGGCGACGAUCCUUAGCUGGUCUGAGAGGAUGAUCAGCCACACGUGGGACUGACGACGACCGGCCCACGACCUCCGUACGGGAGCAGCGAGGUAGGGAAUUAGUAGGACAAGUGGACGAAAGCCUGACUCCAGCAAUCGGCCGCGUGGAGUGAGUGAACGGUCCGUUUAAGGGUUACGUAAAGUCCGUUUACCGUUUUACCGGGAUUAGUAUAA